AGCGAACGCUGGCGGCAUGCUUAACACAUGCCAGUCGCACGGGCAGCCAUGUCAGUGGCGGACGGGUGAGUAACGCGUAGGAACGUGUCCUGAGGUGGGGGACAACCCCGGGAAACUGGGGCUAAUACCGCAUAUGGGCUGAGGCCCAAAGCCGAGAGGCGCCUUUGGAGCGGCCUGCGUCCGAUUAGGUAGUUGGUGGGGUAAAGGCCUACCAAGCCUGCGAUCGGUAGCUGGUCUGAGAGGACGACCAGCCACACUGGGACUGAGACACGGCCCAGACUCCUACGGGAGGCAGCAGUGGGGAAUAUUGGACAAUGGGCGAAAGCCUGAUCCAGCAAUGCCGCGUGGGUGAAGAAGGUCUUCGGAUCGUAAAGCCCUUUCGACGGGGACGAUGAUGACGGUACCCGUAGAAGAAGCCCCGGCUAACUUCGUG
rnacentral:rRNA from 1 species